UACCAGCACCCCGAGUGGUCGGGACGAUUAUUGGGCCUAAAGCAUCCGUAGCCGGUUCUACAAGUCUUCCGUUAAAUCCACCUGCUUAACAGAUGGGCUGCGGAGGAUACUAUAGAGCUAGGAGGCGGGAGAGGCAAGCGGUACUUAGUGGGUAGGGGUAAAAUCCGUUGAUCCAUUGAAGACCACCAGUGGCGAAGGCGGCUUGCCAGAACGCACUCGACGGUGAGGGAUGAAAACUGGGGGAGCAAACCGGG
rnacentral:rRNA from 1 species